rnacentral:piRNA from 1 species
UCCACAUUGCCUUGAUUUUCCUUUCC